rnacentral:rRNA from 1 species
GGGGAAUUUUGGACAAUGGGGGCAACCCUGAUCCAGCCAUGCCGCGUGAGUGAAGAAGGCCUUCGGGUUGUAAAGCUCUUUCGGCCGGGAAGAAAUCGUGCAGGCUAAUACCCUGUAUGGAUGACGGUACCGGAAUAAGAAGCACCGGCGAACUACGUGCCAGCAGCCGCGGUAAUACGUAGGUGGCAAGCGUUGUCCGGAAUUAUUGGGCGGAAAGCGCGCGCAGGUGGUUUCUUAAGUCUGAUGUGAAAGCCCACGGCUUAACCGUGGAGGGUCAUUGGAAACUGGGAGACUUGAGUGCAGAAGAGGAACGUGGAAUUCCAAGUGUAGCUGUGAAAUGCGUAGAGAUUUGGAGGAACACCAGUGGCGAAGGCGACUUUCUGGUCUGCAACUGACGCUGAGCCGCGAAAGCAUAGGGAGCAAACA